rnacentral:rRNA from 1 species
GACGAACGCUGGCGGCGUGCCUAAUACAUGCAAGUAGAACGCUGAAGCUUGGUGCUUGCACCGAGCGGAUGAGUUGCGAACGGGUGAGUAACGCGUAGGUAACCUGCCUGGUAGCGGGGGAUAACUAUUGGAAACGAUAGCUAAUACCGCAUAACAGUAGAUAUCGCAUGAUAGCUACUUGAAAGGUGCAAAUGCACCACUACCAGAUGGACCUGCGUUGUAUUAGCUAGUUGGUGAGGUAACGGCUCACCAAGGCAACGAUACAUAGCCGACCUGAGAGGGUGAUCGGCCACACUGGGACUGAGACACGGCCCAGACUCCUACGGGAGGCAGCAGUAGGGAAUCUUCGGCAAUGGACGGAAGUCUGACCGAGCAACGCCGCGUGAGUGAAGAAGGGUGUCGGAUCGUAAAGCUCUGUUGUAAGAGAAGAACGAGUGUGAGAGUGGAAAGUUCACACUGUGACGGUAUCUUACCAGAAAGGGACGGCUAACUACGUG